GAUGAACGCUGGCGGCGUGCUUAACACAUGCAAGUCGAGCGAGUGAGUUCUUCGGAACGAUCUAGCGGCGGACGGGUGAGUAACACGUGGGCAACCUGCCUCAUAGAGGGGAAUAGCCUCCCGAAAGGGAGAUUAAUACCGCAUAAAAUUAUCGAGUGGCAUCACAUGAUAAUCAAAGGAGUAAUCCGCUAUGAGAUGGGCCCGCGGCGCAUUAGCUAGUUGGUAAGGUAACGGCUCACCAAGGCGACGAUGCGUAGCCGACCUGAGAGGGUGAUCGGCCACAUUGGGACUGAGACACGGCCCAGACGCCGACGGGAGGCAGCAUUGAGGAAUAUUGCACAAUGGGGGAAACCCUGAUGCAGCAACGCCGCGUGAGUGAUGAAGGUCUUCGGAUUGUAAAGCUCUGUCUUUGGGGACGAUAAUGACGGUACCCAAGGAGGAAGCCACGGCUAACUACGUGCCAGCAGCCGCAGUAA
rnacentral:rRNA from 1 species